AGUAGAAUUGUUUAAAAAAGAAAAGUGUGUGUUCUUAGUUGAGUUAAUGUAAGGGUUCAAUGAGAUUUUUGAACGGGCUUUGAUAAAACGUGGGUAAAUAUUUGAAAGUAAACAUAUUCAUCGCGAAAGUGUUGUAAAUAUUUUAAUUUCUUGAAACUGAUAAAAUGAACGUGUAUGUGCGCCUUGUCACCUUCCUCUUCAACCAUCGCUAAGAAUUUGCGAUAAUCCGGUUUCUACAGCCCGCGUAACCUUCAGUUAAUAUAAUUUAAUAUGACGUGCAUGGAGACUGUAAAAUUCUUUGAAAGGGUUAGUGACGAAUUCCUGACGCGUCUCGUUAUUACAGGUUAUCAGCUCACAACACACUGUAGUUUACCCUUCCGUGGUACACGAGGUCAGUGGCAUGGAGGUAUCACAGACCAGCCUGGAGCUCGAAGCCACGAGCGCAGUCUUCAGGGAAGGAAAGUUGAGGCUCCGGUGUCUGGCAACCAUCUUCACACUCUAUCGUCGCAGUGAGGAGCUCCAGAUUACCGAAGACACCCCUCAGCUAGCGCCGGUCAUGGGGCCCACCGCCCCACACAGCCUCGAUUUCGGACGCAGAUCGGAAUCUUCAGUUGAGCUAAUCGUCUUUUUGAGUAUGGCAUUACUUCUCGUCCUUCACGCUAGAUAGCGUGGAUUGUUUUUGUAAAAAUAAAAUAUUAAGGAACAACUGGGGAAAAAACAUUUACAUUUUCAGUUUGUUGUUUAAAAGUGAAACAAGCAGUUUUUGAUGGACAUUUAUAUAUAUUAAGAAUGCUGGGUAAUGCAUUUAUUUUGCAUUAUUACGUAAAUUAAAAUAGAAAUAUUCUGGUUGGUAUAACGCGAGAUAUGUUGUCAUCAGUGUAUAAAUUACUUGAAGAAAGAAGUAACCUUGUCUCAUGUUCCACGCUGACGAGGACCUGCUGUAGGUUUCUGUAUAAUAUUAAAAAUAAUUCAAUUUUGUACCACACUCGAAAGAAGUAACUUUGAAAUAUCCAUUCCUUUAUUGCUGUGGAAUGUAACAAAAGAAACCAAAUGUAUAGUCGGGGGCUUCCAGUAGUGAUAACAUUUCAGACUUCACACGUUUAGACUUCUCCUUUCCUAAGCCCUGAUUAUAACGUACGAUGAAAAAACUCACGCCACUGAAUAAUUGUCUUUUUCUUAAGUCAUGAAUACGAUACAACAAAUUUUGAAAUCCCUUUCGUAAAAUAGACAAAAUUUUACAUUAAUGACCUUAAACUAUUUGCUGAUAUCUACCGAGUGUUAGCAAUUGAACUUUAUAGCACGAGGUCGCCGCAAUGCUUAAGUUUAGCGUUCGUGUAUUUGAUUGGUUUUUAUUAUUUAUUAAUUUUUUUGAAAUAUUUCCCAUAGACUAUGGCACAUUGACUAUACGAUUAGAGGCCCUUAUGUUUCCGCGUAAUUUUAAUAAUUAAAUUAAAUUUUCCACUUCCUAUAAAUAUAAAGUUCAACGUAUUAAUCCUAUGAUCGAAACUCGAUGCUUCUUUCAAUUGAUAUGAAAUGUGACACCAGGUAUGUUUCAUGUGUACGUGUGUGAUCGAUGCUCAAUCACGUAGCCGUUAUAAAGAGCGCGGUUUGAAAAACUGUGUUAGUUCUAUGUGUAUAUAGUAUGAUUCCACUUGUCAAUUUGUCAUGUAAUAUAAGUAGAUAUAAUAUAUUUGUUAGGAUUUAGUUAUAUUUUGGUCGGGAGGAAUUAUAAAGUUUGAAAAUGUCCCUCAGUUCUUGUGAGUUAAAAAUACGUUGCCCAUUGACCCUUCCGAAGGAAAAACUCUGCGACGUAAUAGACUAUAAACAAAUCUAUUUGUUCUUCCAACAAUUGUGACAAAGAACCAAAGAUUAAUUUAGUCGUGAGUGAGAACAGCAAAUUGUGAACAUCGAAAAAUAAUACAUGCAAAAUUGUAUUUGUAUUUAUCUGUUUAUUUGUUAAGCGCAUUUGUCUAUAAUGUUGCAAAACUCUGUGUAAUAAAUACACUCAUAUACUUUGUCAGGAGUAAUAAAUAACAGAAAUAAAACUUAGCGACUAGUAA